rnacentral:rRNA from 1 species
CUGACUGAACUAGGGGGCAUAUAGCUUACUGAAUUCAAUCAAACUCCGAAUACCAUUAUUCAAGAGCGCAGGAGUGAGACCAUGGGAGUUAACUUCCAUCGUCGAAAGGGAAACAACCCAGACCACCAGCUAAGGUCCCAAAUCAUAUCUAAGUGGGAAAGGAGGUGGAGAUUCUUAAACAACUAGGAGGUUGGCUUAGAAGCAGCCAUUCCUUGAAAGAGUGCGUAAUAGCUCACUAGUCGAGAGUCUCUGCGCCGACAAUGUAACGGGGCUAAGAUAUGAACCGAAGCUGUGGAUGUCGUAAGACAUGGUAGGAGAGCGUUCUGUAGGCCGUCGAAGGAGGACUGAAAGGAACUCUGGAGGUAUCAGAAGUGAGAAUGCAGGAAUAAGUAGCGAGAAGGGGAGUGAGAAUCUCCCCCGCUGGAAGACCAAGGUUUUCAGGGUAAAGCUUGUCUUCCCUGA